rnacentral:rRNA from 1 species
ACUCCUACGGGAGGCAGCAGUGGGGAAUCUUAGACAAUGGGGGCAACCCUGAUCUAGCCAUGCCGCGUGAGUGAUGAAGGCCUUAGGGUCGUAAAGCUCUUUCGCCAGGGAUGAUAAUGACAGUACCUGGUAAAGAAACCCCGGCUAACUCCGUGCCAGCAGCCGCGGUAAUACGGAGGGGUUAGCGUUGUUCGGAAUUACUGGGCGUAAAGCGCGCGUAGGCGGACUAGAAAGUUGGGGUGAAAUCCCGGGGCUCAACCUCGGAACUGCCUUCAAAACUCCUAGUCUAGAGUUCGAGAGAGGUGAGUGGAAUUCCAAGUGUAGAGGUGAAAUUCGUAGAUAUUUGGAGGAACACCAGUGGCGAAGGCGGCUCACUGGCUCGAUACUGACGCUGAGGUGCGAAAGUGUGGGGAGCAAACAGGAUUAGAUACCCUGGUAGCGUCGUCU